UUGAUUCUGGCUCAGAACGAACGCUGGUAGCGUGGAUUAGGCAUGCAAGUCGAACGGGAUCCGGGAGGUAGCAAUACUUCCUGGUGAGAGUGGCGGAUUGGGGAGGAACACGUGAGCAACCUGCCUUUGAGUCGGGGAAAACCGUUGGAAACGACGGCUAAUACCGGAUGUGGCGCCCGGAGACAUCUUCGGAGCGCUAAAGGGGGCCGCAAGGCUCUCGCUCGUAGAGGGGCUCGCGCACCAUCAGCUUGUUGGCGGGGUAACGGCCCACCAAGGCCUACGGUUAGCUGGUCUGAGAGGAUGACCAGCAAAGCCUGACAAUGCGACGCUGCGUGGAGGAUGAAGGCCUUCGGGUUGUAAACUCCUGUCAUGGGGGAACAGGCGAGGGGACCCAACACGUCCCUUAGUUGAGUGUACCCCAAGAGGAAGGGACGGCUAACUCUGUGCCAGCAGCCGCGGUAAUACAGAGGUCCCUAGCGUUGUUCGGAUUUACUGGGCGUAAAGGGCACGUAGGUGGCUAGGCGUGUCGCGUGUGAAAUCUCCGGGCCCAACCCGGAAAGUGCGCGCGAAACUACCUGGCUGGAGUACGGGAGAGGGAGUCGGAAUGCAGGGUGUAGCGGUGAAAUGCGUUGAUAUCCUGCAGAACACCGGAGGCGAAGGCGGACUCCUGGAACGUUACUGACGCUAAGGUGCGAAAGUCGGGGGAGCAAACAGGAUUAGAUACCCUGGUAGUCCCGACCUUAAACGGUGCACACUCGGGGUGGGGCCAUUUCACCGGCCCCGUCCCCAAGCCAACGCGUUAAGUGUGCCGCCUGGGGAGUACGGCCGCAAGGCUAAAACUCAAAGAAAUUGACGGGGACCCGCACAAGCAGAGGAGCAUGUGGCUUAAUUCGAUGCAACGCGAAGAACCUUACCUGGGCUUGACAUGCAGCUGCAAGGCCUAUGAAAGUAGGCCGCCUUCGAGGGUGCUGCACAGGUGCUGCAUGGCUGUCGUCAGUUCGUGCCGUGAGGUGUUUGGUUAAGUCCACCAACGAACGCAACCCCUUUGGGAUGUUGCCAGCGGGUAAAGCCCCACCAACGAACGCAACCCCUGCGUCCAGUUGCCAUCGGUUCGGCCGGGCACUCUGGAGGGACCGCCCUUUCACAAGGGAGGAAGGUGGGGAUGACGUCAAGUCAGUAUGGCCCUUACGCCUGGGGCCGCACACGUGCUACAAUGGCCGGCACAGAGGGACGCGAGACCGCGAGGUGGAGCAAAACCCAGAGAACCGGCCCCAGUUCGGAUUGGAGUCUGCAACCCGACUCCAUGAAGUUGGAUUCGCUAGUAACGGCGCAUCAGCAGUUGGUGCCGUGAAUACGUUCCCGGGCCUUGUACACACCGCCCGUCACAUCAUGAAAGCCGUCUGCACCCGAAGCCGGUGGCCCAUCCGCAAGGGGGGAGCCGUCUAAGGUGUGGGUGGUGAUUGGGAUGAAGUCGUAACAAGGUAACCGUAGGGGAACCUGCGGUUGGAUCACCUCC
rnacentral:rRNA from 1 species